GUCUACGGCCAUGUCACCCUGAACAUGCCCCAUCUUGUCCAAUCUCGGAAGCUAAGCAGGGUCAGGCCUGGUUAGUACUUGGACAGGGGACCACCUAGGAAGACCGGGUGCUGUAGGCG
rnacentral:rRNA from 1 species